UACGGAGGGUGCAAACGUUGCUCGGAAUCAUUGGGCGUAAAGCGCACGUAGGCGGUCCAGCAAGUCGGGUGUGAAAGCCCUCGGCUUAACCGAGGAAGUGCAUUCGAAACUACUGGGCUUGAGUACUGAAGAGGAUCGCGGAAUUCCCGGUGUAGAGGUGAAAUUCGUAGAUAUUGGGAAGAACACCGGUGGCGAAGGCGGCCAUCUGGACCGGUACUGACGCUGAGGCGCGAAAGCGUGGGGAGCAAACAGG
rnacentral:rRNA from 1 species